rnacentral:rRNA from 1 species
UCCAGACUCCUACGGGAGGCAGCAGUGGGGGAUAUUGCACAAUGGGGGGAACCCUGAUGCAGCGACGCCGCGUGGGUGAAGAAGCGCCUCGGCGCGUAAAGCCCUGUCAGCAGGGAAGAAAAUGACGGUACCUGAAGAAGAAGCCCCGGCUAACUACGUGCCAGCAGCCGCGGUAAUACGUAGGGGGCAAGCGUUAUCCGGAUUUACUGGGUGUAAAGGGGGCGCAGACGGCGAUGCAAGCCAGGAGUGAAAGCCCGGGGCUCAACCCCGGGACUGCAUUUGGAACUGUGUGGCUGGAGUGUCGGAGAGGCAGGCGGAAUUCCUAGUGUAGCGGUGAAAUGCGUAGAUAUUAGGAGGAACACCGGCGGCGAAGGCGGCCUGCUGGACCGUAACUGACGUUGAGGCUCGAAAGCGUGGGGAGCAAACAGGAUUAGAUACCCCAGUA